AUUGAACGCUGGCGGCAUGCCUUACACAUGCAAGUCGAACGGUAACGCGGGGCAACCUGGCGACGAGUGGCGAACGGGUGAGUAAAGCAUCGGAACGUGCCCAGUAGUGGGGGAUAGCCCGGCGAAAGCCGGAUUAAUACCGCAUACGACCUAUGGGUGAAAGGGGGGGAUCGCAAGACCUCUCGCUAUUGGAGCGGCCGAUGUCAGAUUAGGUAGUUGGUGGGGUAAAGGCCUACCAAACCGACGAUCUGUAGCUGGUCUGAGAGGACGACCAGCCACACUGGGACUGAGACACGGCCCAGACUCCUACGGGAGGCAGCAGUGGGGAAUUUUGGACAAUGGGCGCAAGCCUGAUCCAGCCAUGCCGCGUGCGGGAAGAAGGUCUUCGGGUUGUAAACCGCUUUUGUCAGGGAAGAAAUCCUUUGGGUUAAUACCUCGGGGGGAUGACGGUACCUGAAGAAUAAGCACCGGCUAACUACGUGCCAGCAGCCGCCGUAAAAC
rnacentral:rRNA from 1 species